rnacentral:rRNA from 1 species
AACGAACGCUGGCGGCAGGCCUAACACAUGCAAGUCGAGCGAACCCUUCGGGGUUAGCGGCGGACGGGUUAGUAACGCGUGGGAAUAUGCCCAAAGGCACGGAAUAGCCUCGGGAAACUGAGAGUAAUACCGUAUGUGCCCUUCGGGGGCAGGGUUUAUCGCCUUUGGAUUAGCCCGCGUUGGAUUAGGUAGUUGGUGGGGUAAUGGCCUACCAAGCCGACGGUCCAUAGCUGGUUUGAGAGGAUGAACAGCAACACUGGGACUCAGACACGGCCCAGAGUCCUACGGCGGUCAGCAUUGGGGAUUCUUAUACAAGGGGCGAAACCCUGAUCUGGCCAUGCCGCGUGGACGAUGAAGGCCUUAGGGGUGUAAAGUCCUUUCAGCUGGGAAGUUAAUGACGGUACCUGCAGAAUGAGCCCCGGCUAACUCCGUGCCAGCAGCCGCGGUAACAC